GACGAACGCUGGCGGCGUGCUUAACACAUGCAAGUCGAACGGUGACGAGGAGCUUGCUCCUCCGAUCAGUGGCGAACGGGUGAGUAACACGUGAGCAACCUGCCCCAGACUCUGGGAUAACAGUUGGAAACAGCUGCUAAUACCGGAUACGAGACGGAGAGGCAUCUCUACCGUCUGGAAAGUUUUCGGUCUGGGAUGGACUCGCGGCCUAUCAGCUAGUUGGUGAGGUAAUGGCUCACCAAGGCGACGACGGGUAGCCGGCCUGAGAGGGCGACCGGCCACACUGGGACUGAGACACGGCCCAGACUCCUACGGGAGGCAGCAGUGGGGAAUAUUGCACAAUGGGCGAAAGCCUGAUGCAGCGACGCCGCGUGAGGGAUGACGGCCUUCGGGUUGUAAACCUCUUUCAGCAGGGAAGAAGCGCAAGUGACGGUACCUGCAGAAGAAGCACCGGCUAACUACGUG
rnacentral:rRNA from 1 species